rnacentral:rRNA from 1 species
UACGUAGGGUGCGAGCGUUAAUCGGAAUUACUGGGCGUAAAGCGUGCGCAGGCGGUUUUGUAAGCCAGAUGUGAAAGCCCCGGGCUUAACCUGGGAAUGGCAUUUGGGACUGCAAGGCUUGAGUGCGGCAGAGGAGACUGGAAUUCCUGGUGUAGCAGUGAAAUGCGUAGAUAUCAGGAGGAACACCGAUGGCGAAGGCAGGUCUCUGGGCCAUAACUGACGCUGAGAAGCGAAAGCAUGGGGAGCGAACAGG